rnacentral:tRNA from 1 species
CCUCCCGUAGUUCAAUGGAUAGAACAAGAGACUUCUAAUCUCUAGAUCUAAGUUCGAUUCUUAGCGGGAGGACAA